rnacentral:lncRNA from 1 species
GGCAUUUACGCUGUAUUCCCAUCUAGCUGUUAGCAGUGUGUCGCACACACAGUUCACAUGUGGUCCUUCACUGCUGACUACAACCACUCCCACCAAGGAUGCCAGGGACGGAGGGCGCCCAUACAUUAAUGCUACUCUAUCAUUUAACAACACUGUUUAGGGAAGUUGACGCUUUGUGUUGCGGCUACACUCCAGGAGGACUACCAACGAGUCACCGAGAGUCAACUGCCUUCAGGCCCUCGCUGUCAACAGAGCUGAGCUUCUCUCUUGUUGCUGUGCUGGAAUUUAUUGUUACACACGUGUGAAGUUUGGAGGUAAGCAACCACAGUCAGGCGUAGGCUGGUUAAAUCUCGUUCUGUCUGGUAAGGCAUGGUCGGUCAUUUACAUAUAUUAUCAUUACACUACACUAGGGGGCUGACCUCCAUGUGGCAAUCCACUCAAAGAAACGUGUUAUUUGUUGUGCUGGCUCAUACUGCUGCUGACCUGAACGUUCAGCCUUGAAAUAUACAAUAGUAAAAAUGAAAUGAAAACGUGUGCACCAUGUAUCACACAAUAAGUGACAACAAAAGUCAACAUGUCUGUUGUGUUGGAGGUCUCCUGGACUGUUUCAAACUGUAGAAUCAUUCCACGUGCUUAUACUUGGCGAUAGUUGGUGCAGGAAAAUAUGUUAACAUACGAAAAUAAUACUCUGCCUUUUGAUUAGCCUGCUAUUUCAGUCAGGACAGUUAUAAACAAAUAACAGCGCCAUCUUCUGCGACUUAAAAGUGUUUUCAAAUGACUGCGUUUGACAUGCGAUCCUGGAGCGCCCUCUGCUGGGGGAAUGGUAGACGUGUAUUUACUUUAACAGUAUCUCACUGAAAGCCAAACUAAAACAAGAUUAUAAAUUACAUAAACUCCGAUAGGAACCAACCAAAGUGGAAUCAGUGUUUUACAGACAUGUACUGGUAUCACUGUGGCCUCUUCCCCAGAUCUGAGAAAUGACUCUUAGUGACCUGAUCUAUUAUUAGGAAAACAAAUUCACCAGGCAGUUAUAUUUUUACAAACAGAUUACAGACAAUUCUUCAAACAAAGUGAGCCUCAUUCACCAGUUUUAGGCAGACUUCAUACAUACACAUUAUUAAAAUGGUACAAACAUCUAAAGAUCAGACAUUAUGUUGCUGAAUAUUGUCCACAUGGGAAUAUGUAUUGUUCUCUCCCCCAGUUUAUACUUGACAAGCAGGAUUCCCUGGCAGAAGAGAUAUUAUAUCUUAAUUGGACCUUUCUGGUUAAAUAAAGGAUCAAUAAAAAAUACAAAACAAAACCAUUUGUUAUGUGUUGAACUCUGAAUCAAUAGAUCACAGUGAAUAUAGUAUAUACAGCAUAGUGAUUUUUAUAUAAUGACAAUUUAAUAUUUUUCUCAUUAAUUCUAACAUAAUUUUGUUACAGGCAUGGACUUGAUACAACAGUAAACAGAUGAACAUUACUGUAAGUAGAUUAGUAAAAUACUACUAAUAAAACAGUUAUAGUGAUUUUUAUUCAGAAUAAUAUUCAAACACAUGUGGGAUUAUGAGUGAGAUUUAUGAUAAAAGUAUACUCCCAAUAUAAUUGUAACACUACAGCCAAUGUUUGCUCUUGCACACAGAAUGGUUUAGAAAUGUAUUAUGUGAUUUAUAUAUAAAUGACUCCAUGACUCCAUUUUCAAUGCUCACAAAAUUAGUUAUAUUUAUAUUAUAA